AAGAAAAAAAUAGGAGUUAAUUAACUGUGACACGUUCACUAAAAAAAAAAUCCUUUUGUAGCGAAUCAUUUAUUAAGAAAAAUCGAUAAGCUUAAUACAAAAGCGGAAAAAGAAAUAAUAAUAACUUGGUCCCGGGCAUCUACCAUUAUACCCACAAUGGUCGGCCAUACUAUUGCUAUCCAUAAUGGAAGGGAGCAUUUGCCUAUUUAUAUAACAGAUCGUAUGGUAGGACAUAAAUUGGGAGAAUUUGCGCCCACUAUCAAUUUCCGUGGACAUGCAAAAAAUGAUAAUAGAUCCCGUCGUUAAUAAAGUGAAUAUAGAUUCAUUGGUGAGAGGUGAACCUUAUGAUAAGGAUAAUAAAGAAGAAGGUAGAAGUAUCUGCUUUAGGUCAACAUAUAUGUAUGUCUGCUCACAAAGCCCGAAGGGUAAUUGAUCAGAUUCGUGGACGUUCUUACGAGGAAACCCUUAUGAUACUCGAACUCAUGCCUUAUCGAGCAUGUUAUCCCANUUCUUCUAGAGAAUCUCCUAAUUGUUCCAGAGCAACUAGAAAGAGAUUCUUUAACCAGAAAGAAUUCAGUUCAGAUGUGGGAUACCUAUCCAGAAGUUUUCGCAACUCAAUCAUGUAUGGUGGAAUCAUCAAAGAUUUGACCCUUUCGAACUCUGUCUCUAACUCACUAUAGGCUCGGAAACAAAGAGAAGAUGUGUAUGAACGAGAUAUCCAGCAACAAGAAGAAGGAAAAGGAUUGAAUAGAGGAACUCCCGAGCAUUUGGCGAUCUCAGAUGUGUCGAUAUCAAUGGUGACUCAUUAUUUCGAUGAAUCAUUUCUUCGGACAGAAGAAGAUUAUGGAAACACUUACUCGAAAUCUCACUUAUCAGAUUCCAUUGUGGAAGACACCAUUUUUUCUGAAGAAUUCGCCAUGCUCUAUCUGAUCCAUGCAUAAUAUCAUGAAAAAUGGAUACAAAUUUUUGACUGCUACUUAGUACCGGCAAUAGGUCUGAAAAAGUAUCUAAAAAUAUCAAAUUUAGAUAUUUGUACCCUGUCGAAGUAAGGAACCAUGGCAUAUAUGUUUGGAAUCGAUUCCAUUUUGAGAGAGUUGAAAAAGCACUGUCUCGUUGAAAGGUUCUAGACAUCUGCCCUUUCUCAACGCAUUUCUUUAGACAAAGACUCCGUUUUUUUCCUCUUUCUCUUUUCGGAUGGUAAAUAUUUCUCAGAACAUGGAGUGUGAAUCAAACCCAUGUUUUGAAUUGAAAUUGGAGAUACUGAUGCAAGUUCUUCUCGUCUGAAUCAGAUCGAUUCAUAUCUGAAAGAGGUGACAAUAAGUUCUUUCAAAAUUGACUAUUUGUCCCUCUGUUAGAGGUGUUCCAGAAAUGGCUGCGAUCGAGUAAAUAGCUCUACGAACUAAUAGAUCGGAUCGAAUUGGAAAAGGGAAAAAUUUGUACAAGUUAUACCUUUCGUCACCGCUUUGUGGAAAAUCGUUAGGUAUGAAUAUGUUAGAUACCUGUGACUCGAUUGGUGAAAUAGUAUCUCUCUCCAAAAAAGCAUGUUUUUUUUUACCGCCGCACAAAGAAAAUAUUUUGUUGCGAAUGAACAAGAUAUUGAGGAAUUGUCCAUACGUAAAAUCAUAAUUAUUGAUACGGACCUUUUCCACAUAAAAAGUGAAUCUUUUGUUACAAUAGAAGCGGAAGCGAUGUGGAUUAUUCAAGAAUCGAAGUCGAUUUGCUUUAUAAAAAGAAGAUAUCAAUGAACUUCUAUGAAAUGGUUUCACAGGAUUCAGCCAAUUGUCUUGAUCGUGGGAUAUCAUUGAGAAAUAGGAAUCCGUGUUAUCAAAAGAUUUCCUGCGAUUUUUUCUAGUAUGGAAUGAGUCAAUCAUCCACUUCGGUAUCUUAUUGAACAAAAAUGGUGAUAUUCUUCCUCCAUUGAUCAAGAAUUUCGAUUUUUGGGAAGUAUUAUGAUCAUCCAAUAAGAAGGGUUUCAAUUUUUUCAAAUGAACGAUUUGAAGACCUAUUGAUUCUAACAACUGAUUGCAGAGUUGAUCAUUCGGACCUUUCAAUUCAUAGAUGUGGAUCUCAGACCUAUGAAUGGGGAUAUUCCCGAAACUCACAAAGAAAAAAGGAAGUGAGUUAGACAAAAAGAAAAAGAAACUUGGACAAAAAGAAAGGAAGUGGCUUAGACAAAUCUUUUUUGUCGAUAACUUCAGACCAAUCAAUCGAAUAUUGAUUAAUACGUAAUCGAUCGAACACUACUUGAAAACGGCUCUUCUGCUCAGAAACGAAAUGUUUCAAAUGCUCCUGGAAAUUCUUGCUCCCAUUGGACCAUUUGUAUCUAUAUGCAUUAGGAUCCCGAUUCAUGAAUCUCUCGGUUCGAGAAAUCAAAAUCAGAGGAGCGAACCAUUUCUUCUGACUCUUUUUCAAAUUCGAUAAAUGUUGGUUGAUCGUAUAUUUCAUUAUAGUUCUAUGAUUCAGAGUAUCAUUUCCUAUUUGAUCCCUGUGAAUUCCAUAU
rnacentral:lncRNA from 1 species